AUUGAACGCUGGCGGCAGGCCUAACACAUGCAAGUCGAGCGAGCGGCGGACGGGUGAGUAAUGCCUGUGAAUUUCCCAGUCGCGGGGGAUAACCGUUGGAAACGACUGCUAAUACCGCAUACGGUUGGAUUUCCCAGGUGGGAUUAGCUAGUUGGUGAGGUAAUGGCUCACCAAGGCGACGAUCCCUAGCUGGUCUGAGAGGAUGAUCAACCACACUGGCACUGGGACAGGGACCAGGCUCCUACGGGAGGCAGCAGUGGGGAAUAUUGCACAAUGGGGGAAGCCCUGAGGCAGCCCUGCCGCGUGUGGGAAGAAGGCCUUCGGGUUGUAAAGCACUUUCAGCGAGGAGGCGUUACUCGAAGAAGAAGCACCGGCUAACUCCGUGCCAGCAGCCGCGGUAAUUC
rnacentral:rRNA from 1 species